GGAGGAGCUUCAUCUGUCGAGAUGCGCACAGCUGUGGCUGCGCUGGACUGAACAUGUGAGAUGAUGACGGACUGAAUUUGACAUUUUUAAAUUGAAUUCAGUCUUGCACUCUUGUGAGAGAUAGUUGUGAAUCCGGAGUGAAAUGACGCGUCUCCUGCGCGCACCGCUUGGCGUCCUGUGCGUGUUUCUGUGGACGUGCUGCUGGAACGCGUCUGACGCGUCUGACGCUGAGGAUUGUCCAGAGAAUAAGAUCCUGACCGUGGAGUAUCCGUGUACGAGAGCUGGAGGUCAGAGAGGUCGCUGUCUCAGGAGGAAGUGCUGUGAAGGCUUCAGGUUUGUGAUGGGUCAGUGUGCGCCAGAAAGU